AUAUGAAAAUAAUUGUAUAAAUAAGCAAAUAAUCAAAAAAAAGUAAACAAAUAAGUCAAUAAGUAAUAUCAUAAAUAAAAAGUAUUAAAAUUCAUGCAUGCAGUUUCAUAAUAAAGUUUGGCAUGCAUAUAUAAAGAUAAAUAAUACUAAAAUUUAUAAUAAUAUAGCUUAAAGUUUAUAAUUAAAAUGUUUCUUUAAUUGGUUUGGGCAAUGAUGGACGGAUGUGGAGGUCAAAGCGGUUACCAAAGCUUUACGAAUUCUUCAUGUGGUAUACAAUCAACAAUACUACAAACAAAACAAAGUUAUCUACAGUCAAAUUGCACAUGACACUGAUACUACACACUUCAUGAAACAGAUCAUCACAGGCUAUCAGGACAAAUGGAUAUAACUCUGAUACAACACACUUCAUGAAACAUAUCAAUGACAGGAUAUCAGACGUUGAACAACAUUUAACACUGAACUUGAUUAUCAACAACAAAAACUACCAGUUUAUUCUAAAAUUUGUCACUAGAAAGACUGAAACUCAACGCUGAUACAACACACUUCGCUAUACACAUGAUACGACAGGAUAUCAGACAUUAAACAACAGUCUACACUAAUAACGAUUUCGGACUAAACUCAAAAAACUAAUUCAAAACAAAAACGAAACGAACACAAUACAGUUGGGGACACUUCGGGUCACUCGCAAGCUAUUGUAUUUCAUUUCUAAAGGCACAUGUCUUCGCCGGGGACCAUAUCCUCAAGUUCCAUGUACAUACGACCCUCCAUAUCGUCUUAGAGCGACUGUAUUUGGUUAUUGCACUUUGAAUUGGCUAUUGCCACACGUUUCGGUGUUGUACGUGUCCUAAUUCUUACAACUUAAGAAAUCUGUCAUGGAUUAGAUAGACUUCUUAAGUUGUCCAUUUAGUUUGGGCGCCAUAUUGUUACGGAAUGUGUUUCUGGCGAGGUUUCCAGCUAACUCGGGCAUGUAUAAGUCCUCAGGCGGUUCCAACCCUACUCACCAGACACAGAACCGAACACUAAA